AGCAGCCGCGGUAAUUCCAGCUCCAAUAGCGUAUAUUAAAGUUGUUGCAGUUAAAAAGCUCGUAGUUGAAUUUCGGGAUUGGCGUGUCGGUCGUGCCUUAAGGGGUAUGAACUGGCGUCGUCGAUUUCUCACCUUCUGGAGAAACGCGAUGCCCUUAAUUGGGUGUCGUGCGGAACCAGGACCUUUACCUUGAAAAAUUAGAGUGUUUAAAGCAGGCAUUUUUGCUCGAAUACAUUAGCAUGGAAUAAUAAAAUAGGACGGUUGGUUCUAUUUUGUUGGUUUCUAGGAUCACCGUAAUGAUUAAUAGGGAUAGUUGGGGGCAUUAGUAUUCAAUUGUCAGAGGUGAAAUUCUUGGAUUUAUUGAAGACUAACUACUGCGAAAGCAUUUGCCAAGGAUGUUUUCAUUAAUCAAGAACGAAAGUUAGGGGAUCGAAGACGAUCAGAUACUGUCGUAGUCUUAACCAUAAACUAUGCCGACUAGGAAUCAGACGAUGUAAUUUUUUAAUGACUCGUUUGGCAC
rnacentral:rRNA from 1 species